GUGAGACCACAGACACCAGGCCCUCACAGCCCUUCCUGCUUGCGUCCUGACCCGCAGGCCCCUGUCUAGCCGCCCCAGGGCUAGGACAGCGCAGAGAUGCCGGCCAUGUCCCACAGCCCCAUCCGCUUCCCUGGAUGCGGUAAACGCUCCGCCUCGCCAGGCGAUCCACGCGCAGGAGGGCGAGUCCCGUCCACACGCUCUCUGGGGCAGCCCUGGACGGGAGUCCUGCUCCUUCCGGGAGGGACCCAGGCCCCGAGGUGCAGAGGCCACAGCUGUCCUCAGCUGCAUGAGGACAGCCCAUGGCUGCAGAUCCCUGAGGACGCCUCAGGCCCAGCCCAGCCCGCCAGACUGAGAUUCUCGCCCACAACUGUCGCCAGCUCCCUCUUCCCCUUUCUCUGAGGGCCAUCAGCUCCGGGUCAGAGAACACAUGGGGUCCUUGAGUCCCCCUGAGCCCACGUCCAUCCCUCAGAGUCCCGUGUCACCCCACACCUGCCCCCCUUUUUCUAUUCCUCCCCCUCACCCCCAGUUCAGCGGCUCCAAGCGCUCCGCUCAGGCCAUUAAGCGGUACUCGCGCUUCUCCCUUUGGUGAUCUCAGCAUCUGGGGGCUUCGAUUUGACAUUUCAGUGGAGGGCUCCAGGGUGUAAUUUUCCGCCUCCCCCAUCCUGCGGCCCCGCAUUCCCAGCUGCCCUCUGGGAACGGGGCCCCCCAGCUCUCACUGACACCUGUCACCCGCCUUACUCAGGGAGGCCCCCAUGUGCACCUGCCAUGGGUCUCCACACGUCCCGGUUCUUCUCUUCCUGGGCGCUCUGUGCCUUCCUCCGUCUGCCGGCUGCUCCUGGGCCCUGUUGUGCGAGAUCAGGAGUCCAGGGAAGGAAAUGGAAACCAAAACCCCGCUGAGGUAGCCCCGCAAGCUCACUGAGAUGGCUGGUAUAUAUUUAGAACAUUGUUUAGGGAAAGUAACAGGUGCCGGGCCGAAGUGGAGAAACUGGAACCCUAAUUAAUGCAGGGGCGGGGCGAGCGUAAAUCGGGUGGCAGUUCCCCAGAAAGUGAGCCCAGAAUCGCUCACUGAGCCGGCAGUCCCAGCGCCCCGCGCGCAGGAAGAAGGACCCGGCGACGCCAGCGCGGUGCGCGCAGGCCGAAGCAACGGAAGCUGGGCCUUGGAAGGUGUGCGCCCUGGCAUCCACGCCGGCGCUAUCCACACUCGCCAGUACAGCCGCAGGCUCCUGAGGUGUGGACGAGGGAAGCGAAUAAUUAGCAUCAGCUCAGGCGCUGAGUAAGGACCCUAGUGGCAGGUGUGGGCUCCACAGACGGAGGAAGGAGCCACGUGUCCAGGAGGGCGGGCGCCUCCAGGAGCUGGAAAAGGCAGCGAAACGGGUUGGGUGUCCAGGAGGGAGCGCGGGGCCCCCGCAGACCCAUGUCAGAGUUCUGACCCCCCAGGAUUUAACGAUCCCAAUGAACCGGCUGCCGGAAGUGUCCCCCUCUGCGCUCCUGUGUUCCGGCAGACGAGGAGUCCCAGACGCCUGGUCUCCCAAGCUUCUGGAAACGGAUUCCGGUGCCAACCUCUCCUGGCCAGCGUUCCGACCUCAGUCCCUGACUCUCAUCCCACACCUCUGACCACCAGUGCCCGGAGCCCAGCCUGGCCACCUUCUGGAGGCCUGGGCCCCAUCUCUGCGGCUCUGCAGGGGCCGGGGGCUUGUGCGCAGCGCUGGUCCCAGUGUGGCCAGGAUACAGGAUGAAGGACGACCUUCCCCGUCGCUGCAUCUCUGCAGGAGGCAGGGCUCCGCGCGGUGGUUUUCCGGUGUCCUUUCAGCACACUCAGAUGGAGGGGCCACUCGGCUCUCACGCAGACUUCUCUUCAGCAGUUGUGCCCCCCCACCCCCCACUGUGUCCGUCUCCCGGAGCACUGUCCUCAGCACGAAGGACAGGAAGGCUGCCUGCCAGGGCCCCUGCCUCCUGCCCAGAGUACAGAGCGUUCUCGUUGCACUUUUUGGCACUCAGCUUGCCAGACUCGGCCGUGGAAGGCGCUUCUGAGCCUGGCUCUGUGCUUCCGGAGGGGACCCGGCACAUCAUCAGCUCUGUCUUGCUCUCCGGAUUCGGUGGAGUCCCAGACUCAUCUCGUGUCCCUCCUGCCCUGGACCAGGAACCCACCUUUUCUGCAAGAGUUCUCGGGCUCCUUUUACUGGGGAACCGUAUUUACAGAACAAGAUGUGGGGGUUAUGUGAACUCAGGCUACUGGGCUUUUUUGUUCCUUAGGGAGCAAGUUAACACUCAGGAAGGAUGGGUAGUGUGCUUUCACGGGGGUAUUCCCAGCCUCGAUGUGAUGUCCUGUCCUGUCCUCUCCUCUCUCCUCACCUCCCAUCCCCUCCCAUCCCCUCCCAUCCUUCUUCUAGUAAGCUUCAUGUCUAGCAUGGAGCCCAGUGCAGGGCUUGAACUCACAACCUUGAGAUCAAGACCUGAGCUGAGAUCAAGAGUCAGAUGCUUAACCAACGGAGCCAUUCAGGUGCCUCAAUGGACUUUUUAGGUUACACUUGUAUCUCUCAUACGUCAAAUCCCUGCUCCUAAUAAAUUAAUGUAAUUACAUUUUCGCUUUGCCCUGUG